CCGGUACUGAGAAAGCUUUUCAGGCCUGAUUAGUCAUUUGAGAUAAGUGUAAUAAAUGUCAGAGAAACUAAUACAAAAAUAAACCACAGUAAAUAUGAGGCAUAGCUGCUCUCUAGUGGACUUGUGAAUAGUGUCAACAAUGUAAGUAAAAUUAACAUUCCCCAGAGGGUAAUCGUGUAGAUGCUUUGCUGAGAGAAAAAGAUGAAGAUUUCCUACAUAUUUGAGCUCAGCUGCUGCUUUGUUUUCUUGCUCUCUCUCACCUCUUUACGUAGCUGUCUUAUACUGGGAUUACAGAGAAGUGGCAGAAUGCAACAAUGACUCCUGCUCGAUGCUGUGAAAGUAUGCAGCAAUGCAGGGCAAGCUCAGUUGCUCUUCAGAAGUAAAAGAGUUGGUGCUCAGGGAAGCUGCCCUCUACCCCCUGAGCCCAGCAGCUUCAACGCAUGUGCUACCUGCACACAAGACCCUCCAGCUUUUUUUUCAAAAUUAUUCCCAAAAGACUGCAAAGUGACUAAGUAUUGCUACAACGCGUGAGCAAAGGAACUGCAAGUGGCAUAUGCCUCCUCCCUAGCCCUGCGGCAGCCGGCAGCCACGGCGGCGCGUUUCCUGCGAAGCGAGGACUGCAGUGAAGACCUAUCACUUACGCGGUGCGAUAGGUACAUGCAUGCCAUGGAUUGCAGGAAAGAGGGCCCACGAGGUCAAAUGGCCUAUCUCGUCGAUGGGCUCUGUCAGGUAGAAAUUCAACUGCUUUGUGGUGAAGCCUUUUUAUGAAUGACUUUUGAUUAAUACUUGUGAAGUUGGUGGGAGGGGGAAAUAGGAGGAGGCAGUGCUGAGUGUGGCCAGGAGCACUGCUGCUGCAAGGCUGCUGCUUGCUUCCCUCUUGGCAGAGGCACAACAGCAGCAACGGCGUACAAAGAGAUCUGCAAGUGCACAUGAAACGUAUGCGUUGGCGGUUUCCCCAGAUAGUCUUUGUUAGGACUGUCAG
rnacentral:lncRNA from 1 species